GCGGGUGUAGUUCAAUGGUAGAACCCCAGCCUUCCAAGCUGAUGACGUCGGUUCGAUCCCGAUCACCCGCUCCA
rnacentral:tRNA from 2 species